CGGAGCUGGAGAAAUACCAACAGCUGCAGAAAGAGCUGGGCCGGGCGGUGGCGGCGCGGCAGAAGUUGGAGACGCAGCUGACGGAGAACAACAUCGUGCAGGAGGAGCUGCAGGCCCGGCCCUGAGCCCCAAAUUUGGGGAAAACCCCCCAAAAUUUGGGGAAACUACCCAAAAAAAAUCCCGGACCCGAAAAUCCCCAAAAAUCCCCAAAAAUCCCAAAAAAUCCCCAUUAAAUUCCAAUAAAAACACCCCAAAAUCUGAAUUUUUGUCUUAUUUUAUGAUUAAUUCCCAAAUUUUGGGGGAAUUUUGGGCACCUGAGCACCCAAAAAUUUGGGGAAAACCACCCAAAAAUUCCGGACCCAAAAAUCCCAAAAAUUCACAAUAAAGUCCAAGGAAAACACCCCAAAAUCCGAAUUUUUGUC
rnacentral:lncRNA from 1 species